CUUGUUUUGGCACGGGGCAUGCCUCCAUGUCACAGAGUUAACCGCCAACGUGGCGGUGGUUUGCUCUUGUUCACUCACGGAUGUGAUUCUUUUUACACGUCGUUUCGGUUUUGUUUUCACGACGCGGCUCCAUAACUUUGUUUCCUGUUUCCUGUGAUGUCCCGUCCCCCCCCACCCCCAGCCCCAACCUCCUCAUGACUCUCUAACGGAGGCCUGUGUUGCAUCGCACCGUCGGAGGAGUCCCCAGAUGAAAUUUAGGAGGAUUUUGCCCAGCCGAAGGCACCAGGAGAUGUGUCCUCCCUCUCAGGUGACUGCAGCCUCAUUCAUUGCCUUCUUUUCUCCCAGCUUUUUAAUUAGGCCACACAACUCAGGACAACAACAUGCCUCUUCAAGCUCCUCCGUGUCUGACUUUGAUGAUAUAUAUGUUCUCAUGUUUUCAUCGUUUUCACACCAUAUACAUGAAAAGAUGUGUAUGUUCUGUUCUUAUCUUGGGCUGUCAUGCUGUGUGAUGAUUUUCUUGUUAUUAGUUGCGUUUAUUUGUACAUGUGUGCGCUUUUAUUCUUGUAAAGGCAGAACAGCUGUAUCGUCAAGGUAUUAAAGAUAUCCCUCAUUUAAAAUGA